AUUCCGUCAUCUUCGAACCCCACUGCUUUUCCAAAACCCUACCCUUCCCAUGCCCACUUCAAUGGCAGCUAAAAUUUCCCGAUCGAUUAUGGCCCUUCGUUCCUCCUCCCAAUCUCUCCUAACCCUUCGAUCCACACCCCCGCUUAGCUCCCUCUCCAAACGCUUCCUCUCCUCUUCCCUCCAACAACCGCGUCCUGUCCCGGUUCGGUUCUGGCCGGCAAUUCCCCUCUCUUCGCGGCUCAAUCAAGUCCGUUUUAGGGUGAACCGGGCUGGAAACUCCGGCUACUCGCCGCUCAACUCCGGUUCGAACUUCAGCGACCGGCCUCCCACCGAGAUGGCCCCGCUGUUCCCGGGUUGUGACUACGAGCAUUGGCUGAUUGUCAUGGAUAAGCCUGGCGGUGAGGGCGCUACCAAGCAGCAGAUGAUCGACUGCUACAUCCAAACCCUAGCCAAGGUCGUUGGAAGUGAAGAGGAAGCAAAGAAGAAGAUUUACAAUGUGUCGUGUGAGAGGUAUUUUGGGUUUGGCUGUGAGAUUGAUGAGGAAACCUCGAAUAAGCUUGAAGAUCUGCCCGGUGUUCUUUUUGUCCUUCCAGAUUCUUAUGUUGAUCCUGAGAAUAAGGACUAUGGAGCUGAGCUGUUUGUCAAUGGAGAGAUAGUUCAAAGAUCUCCUGAGCGGCAAAGGAGAGUGGAGCCCCAGCCCCAGACAGGCAGAGAUAGACCAAAAUACAAUGACAGAACCCGAUAUGUGAGGCGUCGAGAGAACAUGCGAUAAAGCUAAGAAAUGAAGCCUAGUGGCACAUUGUGGAUGAACAACUCUUUACACAAUUGCUUGGGUUGGGACUUGAACUGUUGUAUCACCAUGAACUUUUGGUGUGGCUGUGACAAUAUUUCCAGUGGUAUAAUAUGGCAAUUUUGAACAUUUUUCUUUAGAACAUUUUGAAAGGUUACUUUUUGGCCCAAACGUUGUAGCAAUAAUUUCCUGAGCUGGUUGAUCUUUUUGCAAUUAGAAAUAUGUGUUUUGAUAAAAGAGGAAUCCUCUGAUAGUAAAAGGAGAUUUUAGAGUUUCUUGGCAUAUGGAAUAGUACCGGCCAAAAUUUCCAGCUCUCGGGAAUUAUUCCAUUUUCUGGGCUGGGGAGUUGGGUUUGCUUGGUUCAAACUCCAAAAAUGUUGAACCAACCUUGGUGUUGGAGAAAUAGUAAUCUGCAGCUCUUAACUAUUUGGACC